rnacentral:rRNA from 1 species
AUUGAACGCUAGCGGGAUGCCUUACACAUGCAAGUCGAACGGAGUGGCGACCGGGUGAGUAAUGUAUCGGAAUGUGCCCCGUAGCGGGGGAUAACUACGCGAAAGCGUAGCUAAUACCGCAUACUAUCGGAGCGGCCGAUAUCGGAUUCGCUGGUUGGUGGGGUAACGGCCCACCAAGGCGACGAUCCGUAGCUGGUUUGAGAGGACGACCAGUCACACUGGGACUGAGCAACGGCCCAGACUCCUACGGGAGGCAGCAGUGGGGAAUGUUGGACAAUGGGGGAAACCCUGAUCCAGCCAUGCCGCGUGUUGGAAGAAGGCCUUAGGGUUGUAAAGCACUUUUAGCUGGAAAGCGUUACCUGCAGAAUAAGCACCGGCUAACUACGUGCCAGCAGCCGCGGUAAUUC